rnacentral:rRNA from 1 species
UACGUAGGGGGCGAGCGUUGUCCGGAUUCAUUGGGCGUAAAGAGCUCGUAGGCGGUUCAGUAAGUCGGGUGUGAAAUCUCCGUGCUCAACACGGAGCGGCCACCUGAUACUGCUGUGACUCGAGUCCGGUAGGGGAGUGUGGAAUUCCCGGUGUAGCGGUGAAAUGCGCAGAUAUCGGGAGGAACACCAGUGGCGAAGGCGGUUGCCUGGAGCUUUGCUGACGCUGAGGCGCGAAAGCGUGGGGAGCAAACAGG